GAGGACAUAGCUCAGUGGUAGAGCGCACACUUAGUAUGCAUGAGGUCCUGGGUUCAAUCCCCAGUACUUUUA
rnacentral:tRNA from 1 species